rnacentral:misc_RNA from 1 species
AAGUCGUAACAAGGUUUCCGUAGGUGAACCUGCGGAAGGAUCAUUAAUGAUUUUAGCUAACCAUGGCUAUUUUAGCCAUGGUUAUGCGAAAUUUUGUAUUUAAAACCCCACUCUUAUAAUAAAAAUUUUAUUAUAUUUAUGAUAAAAAUAAGAUCACUUUCAACAACGGAUCUCUUGGUUCUC